UCCCUGGUGCCUCAGAUGGUAGAGAAUCUGCCUGCAAUGCAGGAGGCCCAGGUUCAAUCCCUGGGUUGGGAA
rnacentral:tRNA from 1 species